UCUUCCACAAUGGACGAAAGUCUGAUGGAGCAACGCCGCGUGAGUGAAGAAGGUUCUCGGAUCGUACAGCUCUGUCCUUGGGGAAGAAGGGAGCCGUAAGGCUUCUUGACGGUACCCAUGGAGGAAGCCCCGGCUAACUACGUGCCAGCAGCCGCGGUAAUACGUAGGGGGCAAGCGUUGUCCGGAAUUAUUGGGCGUAAAGGGUGCGUAGGCGGCCUUUUAAGUCAGAUGUGAAAGGCUACGGCUUAACCGUAGUUAGCAUUUGAAACUAAAAGGCUUGAAUGCAGGAGAGGAGAGUGGAAUUCCUAGUGUAGCGGUGAAAUGCGUAGAUAUUAGGAGGAACACCAGUGGCGAAGGCGACUCUCUGGACUGCAACUGACGCUGAGGCACGAAAGCGUGGGGAGCGAACA
rnacentral:rRNA from 1 species